GUAAACAAGGCGCUGAUUGGCUGCGCGCCAGCCCGCACCGGGCCGCCUGCAAAAAGCAAUUACUGGCCGCGCGGUUUCAAGGCGGCCCGGGGCCGCGCGAUGAAAGGCGAUAAACCGGGGCGGUUUCCAGGCCCCCCCGGGCGGACCCCGCCGCCCCGCGGCCCGGGAGCGACGCGGGGGAGAUCAAAGGCAGCGGAGAAAGGGGAAGCGGCCGGAGUCACCCGCCGCCGCCGGCACAGCGCGCCCGCAGAUAUUAGAUUACAACGGGGCUAUUCAUUACGGCGAGACGACAAUCGAAUCGAGCAGGAGCGCGACCGGGGGACGCGGCGGGACCCUGCGGCCGCCGCGCACCGGCACCGGCCGGCACCGCACGGUACGGGGGCGCGGGGGGGCGGCGGGGGGGCCGCACGGGAAUGCACCCAGCACGGACCAGUGCAUGCACAGACGCCCCAGUAUGACCCAGUGCUCGCCCACGGGUGCAAUGCGCACGCAGCGCGGCCGCGGUGCCCGCACAGCCCCGGUGCACACCGCAGCUCGGGGAUGCGGGACGCCCCGGCUGCCGGGCACCGCCGGAGCACGGCCACGCUCGGUCCCCGGGGCCCCCCCGGCCGUGCACGCCGCCCCCCCGCCCUCGCCUCCCGUUAUCAUUUUGCAUUCGCCGCUCCGGAGCGCGGCCGCCUGCUCCCGCCGCGCCGGGGCCCCGGCUCCCCCCGCGUUAACGUCCUGCAGCGGGAUCUCCCUGCGCACCCGGGAGGGGCCGGGCCGGGGCUCCGGGCGGCUGAGCGACGCGGUGCAGCGACGCGGCGCACGGGCAGCGCUGCCCUGGGGCCGGCGCGUUGCUGCGGCCGCUGGGAGCAAACGAGCGACAAUUUCCUGACUGCAAAUAAACAAAUAAAUGAAAUACACAAAUAAUCUGAAAAGCC